rnacentral:rRNA from 1 species
GACGAACGCUGGCGGCGUGCCUAAUACAUGCAAGUCGAACGAAGCUGUUUUAACUGGUGCUUGCACCGACUUAAACAACUGAGUGGCGAACGGGUGAGUAACACGUGGGUAACCUGCCCCAAAGCGGGGGAUAACAUUUGGAAACAGAUGCUAAUACCGCAUAGUCACAGAAACCACAUGGUUUCUGUGUCAAAGAUGGUUUCGGCUAUCACUUUGGGAUGGACCCGCGGCGUAUUAGCUAGUUGGUAAGGUAAUGGCUUACCAAGGCAAUGGUACGUAGCCGAACUGAGAUGUUGAUCGGCCACAUUGGGACUGAGACACGGCCCGAACUCCUACGGGAGGCAGCAGUAGGGAAUCUUCCACAAUGGACGAAAGUCUGAUGGAGCAACGCCGCGUGAGUGAAGAAGGUUUUCGGAUCGUAAAACUCCGUUGUCAGAGAAGAACGUGUGCGAGAGUAACUGUUCGUGCAGUGACGGUAUCUGGCCAGAAAGCCACGGCUAACUACGUGCCAGCCGCCGCGGUAA